UACGUAGGGUGCGAGCGUUAAUCGGAAUUACUGGGCGUAAAGCGUGCGCAGGCGGUUUUGUAAGCCAGAUGUGAAAUCCCCCGGGCUUAACCUGGGAAUGGCAUUUGGGACUGCAAGGCUCGAGUGCGGCAGAGGAGACUGGAAUUCCUGGUGUAGCAGUGAAAUGCGUAGAUAUCAGGAGGAACACCGAUGGCGAAGGCAGGUCUCUG
rnacentral:rRNA from 1 species